rnacentral:rRNA from 1 species
AUUGAACGCUGGCGGCAUGGUUAAAGCAUGCAAGUCGAACGCGAACCACCUUCGGGUGGGGAAAGUGGCGAAAGGGCGAGGAAUACGAUCGAAUGUGCCCCCGAGGUGGGGAGUAGCGUCGAGAAAUACGGCGGUAAUACCCCACUGUGCUCUACGGAGGAAAGGUUUACCGCUUUGGGAGCAGCGAUCGUCCUAUCAGGUAGUUGGUGGGGUAAUGGCCUACCAAGCCGAAGACGGGUAGCGGGUGUGAGAGCAUGACCCGCCGCAUCGGAACUGAGACACUGUCCGGACUCCUACGGGAGGCUGCAGCGACGAAUAUUCCGCAAUGGGCGAAAGCCUGACGGAGCAAUGCCGCGUGUGGGAUGAAGCGCCUUCGGCGUGUAAACCACUGUCAGGUCCUAGGAACACUGACCAGGACC